rnacentral:lncRNA from 1 species
CCAGAUUACAUUAAAUGACUUACUACGACUAAACAAACUAGGAAAAAUAAAAAGAUAGAAGGGUUUGAGUCACGAGAUAAUAUAAGGAUUACAACCCUGAAAUAAACCGGACAACAGAAAUGACAACAAAAUAAACCACCAAGACUCCUCCCAGGCUAGCCAGAAAGAAGUGUCUUUCCAAUCACCAAGCUCAACUUCUUAGCCACCGAGCUCCACAUAAACAGUACUAGGACCUUCACAAGUCUCCAUCACAUAAAUCUUAGCAAAUUGAUUUUGGGUCCCUUUUUCCGGCUCAUUCUUAAGAUCAACUUCUGGAACCAAGACUGAUAGCACUAAAAGCUUUGCGGAAAGUGUCCCUCCGAGGAUCUCAGAAGAGUUCUCAUAUAUCUUUUCAACACAAAUCAUGCCCACCAUAUGCGUAUCAUUAUGAAUAGGAAAUGGACUUUGGCUAGUAUACGCUGCAUCUAGAUUUUCCACAUUAAUGUCACCUGCAUCAAUAAGUUUCUGGACUGCUCUUUUCAUAUUCCAACACUUCUCUAUGCUAUGCCUGGGGCAUUAGAUCAAUAUGCGCACCUUUGAGAAAAAUAAAAAUUCUUUGGUAGGGGGUUUGGCAUUUUUAUUUGAAUUGGCUUCAACAUGUCCAAUUGCCUCAGCCUUUGGAACAGACUGGCAUAUGAUUCUCCAAUAGCAGUGAAAGACUUUUCUCUUUGUUGUUGCCUUUUCAUUUUAUACUUUGGCCUCGAUUGGAACCUUUUGCGAGUAGGUGGUUGAUAUGCUUGAGGAGGAGAGAAAGAUAUUCGCAGAAAUGGUACAGGCCAUUGCGGGUCCUGUGGAUGUAGAGCAUAUGGUGGUGCAUUGUGGAUGGAGUAAUGGGAAGUUGAGGUAUGACUUUGGGGAUUUUGUGGAGAGAAGUAACAUUGGGGAGAAUUAUCUGGAGCAUAUGGAUAUCCAUGGGGUCGAUAUUGAGGAUGAAAGCAUUUAGCAGGAAUGCCCACUAGAUCCUGUCGUUGGCGGGGUUCAAUAACAUCUUUUCAAUUUCUCUUUCUUCCUCCCAAACUUACUGAGAUGUUCUGAAUGUCUUAUGUAGUAUCUUUUAGAAUAACUCAUAAUUUUGCCUGACUUGAUUCCUUC